rnacentral:rRNA from 3 species
AAUCCAUAGGUUAAUGAGGCGAACCGGGGGAACUGAAACAUCUAAGUACCCCGAGGAAAAGAAAUCAACCGAGAUUCCCCCAGUAGCGGCGAGCGAACGGGGAGGAGCCCAGAGCCUGAAUCAGCAUGUGUGUUAGUGGAAGCGUCUGGAAAGGCGCGCGAUACAGGGUGACAGCCCCGUACACAAAAGCGCAUGUGCUGUGAGCUCGAUGAGUAGGGCGGGACACGUGGUAUCCUGUCUGAAUAUGGGGGGACCAUCCUCCAAGGCUAAAUACUCCUGACUGACCGAUAGUGAACCAGUACCGUGAGGGAAAGGCGAAAAGAACCCCGGCGAGGGGAGUGAAAAAGAACCUGAAACCGUGUACGUACAAGCAGUGGGAGCACAGGUUUACCUGUGUGACUGCGUACCUUUUGUAUAAUGGGUCAGCGACUUAUAUUCUGUAGCAAGGUUAACCGAAUAGGGGAGCCGGAGGGAAACCGAGUCUUAAC